rnacentral:rRNA from 1 species
UACGUAGGGGGCAAGCGUUGUCCGGAUUUAUUGGGCGUAAAGAGCUCGUAGGCGGUUCGGUAAGUCAGGUGUAAAAACUCCAGGCUCAACUUGGAGAGGCCACCUGAUACUGCCGUGACUAGAGUCCGGUAGAGGAGCACGGAAUUCCUGGUGUAGCGGUGAAAUGCGCAGAUAUCAGGAGGAACACCAGCGGCGAAGGCGGUGCUCUGGGCCGGAACUGACGCUGAGGAGCGAAAGCGUGGGGAGCGAACAGG